rnacentral:rRNA from 1 species
UACGGAGGGUGCGAGCGUUGUCCGGAAUCAUUGGGCGUAAAGGGCGCGUAGGUGGCCCGGUCAGUUUCGUGGUGAAAGCGCGGGGCUCAACCCUCGCGUCGGCCAUGAAUACUGCCGCGGCUGGAGCACUGUAGAGGCAGGCGGAAUUCCGGGUGUAGCGGUGGAAUGACGUAGAGAUCCGGAAGAACACCGGUGGCGAAGGCGGCCUGCUGGGCAGUUGCUGACACUGGAGGCGCGACACGGUGGGGAGCAAACAGG